rnacentral:rRNA from 1 species
UACAGAGGGGGCAAGCGGUAAUCGGAAUUACUGGGCGCAAAGCGUGCGUAGGUGGUUUGUUAAGUCAGGCGUGAAAUCCUGGGGCUCAACCUCAGAAUUGCGCUUGAUACUGACAGACUCGAGUGUGGUAGAGGAUAGUGGAAUUCCCGGUGUAGCGGUGAAAUGCGUAGAUAUCGGGAGGAACAUCAGUGGCGAAGGCGGCUAUCUGGACCAACACUGACACUGAGGUACCAAAGCGUGGGUAGCAAACAGG